GUGUCAGCAGCCGCGGUAAUACGAAGGAUCCGAGCGUUAUCCGGAAUCAUUGGGUUUAAAGGGUUCGUAGGCGGAUAGAUUAGUCAGCGGUGAAAGUUUAUGGCUUAACCAUAAAAUUGCCGUUGAUACUGUUUAUCUUGAAUAAGUGUGAAGUGGUUAGAAUGAGUAGUGUAGCGGUGAAAUGCAUAGAUAUUACUCGGAAUACCAAUUGCGAAGGCAGAUCACUAACACUUUAUUGACGCUGAUGAACGAAAGCGUGGGGAGCAAACAGGAUUAGAUACCCUGGUAGUCCACGCUGUAAACGAUGGAUACUAGUUGUUUGGAUUACAUUGGUAAUUUGAGUGACUAAGCGAAAGUGAUAAGUAUCCCACCUGGGGAGUACGUUCGCAAGAAUGAA
rnacentral:rRNA from 1 species